UAAGCACCCCUGGGUUCAAUCCCUGGUGCCAAAAUAUAUAUAUAUAUAUAUACAUUUGUAAAUAAAAUAUAAAAAUAAUAUAUAUAGGACUGGGGCUAUAUAAUAUAAAAUAUAUAAAUAUAUAUAUUAUUAUUAUUUUUUGGUACCAGGGAUUGAACCAGGGGUGCUUA
rnacentral:miRNA from 1 species